rnacentral:tRNA from 8 species
GCGCCCGUAGCUCAGGUGGAUAGAGCAAUGGUCUCCGAAGCCAUGUGCCGUUGGUUCGAAUCCAAUCGGGCGCACCA